rnacentral:rRNA from 1 species
AUACAUGCAAGUCGAACGAGCUUCCGUUGAAUGACGUGCUUGCACUGAUUUCAACAAUGAAGCGAGUGGCGAACUGGUGAGUAACACGUGGGGAAUCUGCCCAGAAGCAGGGGAUAACACUUGGAAACAGGUGCUAAUACCGUAUAACAACAAAAUCCGCAUGGAUUUUGUUUGAAAGGUGGCUUCGGCUAUCACUUCUGGAUGAUCCCGCGGCGUAUUAGUUAGUUGGUGAGGUAAAGGCCCACCAAGACGAUGAUACGUAGCCGACCUGAGAGGGUAAUCGGCCACAUUGGGACUGAGACACGGCCCAAACUCCUACGGGAGGCAGCAGUAGGGAAUCUUCCACAAUGGACGAAAGUCUGAUGGAGCAAUGCCGCGUGAGUGAAGAAGGGUUUCGGCUCGUAAAACUCUGUUGUUAAAGAAGAACACCUUUGAGAGUAACUGUUCAAGGGUUGACGGUAUUUAACCAGAAAGCCACGGCUAACUACGUGCCAGCAGCCGCGGUAAUACGUAGGUGGCAAGCGUUGUCCGGAUUUAUUGGGCGUAAAGCGAGCGCAGGCGGUUUUUUAAGUCUGAUGUGAAAGCCUUCGGCUUAACCGGAGAAGUGCAUCGGAAACUGGGAGACUUGAGUGCAGAAGAGGACAGUGGAACUCCAUGUGUAGCGGUGGAAUGCGUAGAUAUAUGGAAGAACACCAGUGGCGAAG